rnacentral:rRNA from 1 species
AUUGAACGCUGGCGGCAGGCCUAACACAUGCAAGUCGAACGAGUGGCGGACGGGUGAGUAAUGUCUGGGAAACUGCCUGAUGGAGGGGGAUAACUACUGGAAACGGUAGCUAAUACCGCCUACCAUCAGCUGUGCCCAGAUGGGAUUAGCUAGUUGGUGGGGUAACGGCGCACAAAGGCGACGAUCCCUAGCUGGUCUGAGAGGAUGACCAGCCACACUGGAACGUAGACACGGUCCAGACUCCUACGGGAGGCUGCAGUGGGGAAUAUGGCACAAUGGGCGCAAGCCUGAUGCAGACAUGCGGCGUGGAGGAAGAAGGCCUUCGGGUUGUAAAGUACUUUCAGCGGGGAGGCGUUACCCGCAGAAGAAGCACCGGCUAACUCCGUGCCAGCAGCCGCGGUAAUAC